UACAGAGGGUGCGAGCGUUAAUCGGAAUUACUGGGCGUAAAGAGUGUGUAGGCGGUGCUCUAAGUUUGGUGUGAAAUCUCCCGGCUCAACUGGGAGGGUGCAUCGAAAACUGGAGUGCUCGAGGGUGGGAGAGGUAAGCGGAAUUCCUGGUGUAGCGGUGAAAUGCGUAGAUAUCAGGAGGAACACCUAUGGUGUAGACAGCUUACUGGACCACUUCUGACGCUGAGACACGAAAGCGUGGGUAGCAAACAGG
rnacentral:rRNA from 1 species